GAGCAGUUGGACAGGUGUACCUAAUAAAGUGGCCGGUGAGUGUAUUUGUACCAUACACAGUGUAUAAUACCUUAUGUCAUUUAUUGUAUUACAGUACUUCAAAAAAUAUUUAUGCUGUAAAGAAAUUUAACACAUUUAUUUACUAAACUUAAACUGAUUAGCUUAGCUACAUCAGGUUUUAGUUUGGAUUGUCAUGGUUUUUCAAAACAUUACUAGGUUGCUAUUUGGAAAAUUCAGUCGAGUAUAAUUAGCUGUUAAGGUUUCAUAACUCUCAUUUCUUUUCUGAGUAUAACCUAAAAAGAAAAAAAAAAGCGUAGAAAAGCUACAGAUGAAAGGGCCUCACCUAAAGCAGCAGAAGGAAGCGCUACCGUCGGUUUUAAAUCGAGAUAAAACACAACUUCAACAUCAGCAAAACUGGCAGAAAAGCUCUCCAGAAGUGGUAAAGUCCUCGGAAAAGCAGGAGCCAAACGUUUGGGCCGGAUGCUGAAAUGUGCCAUCCCACACCAAGAGAUGCCGACUGGAAAAGGGAAUGUUUUACCAAAGACUCCUGCUCGUCUUCUCAAGCACCAGAUUGAAAAAAAGGCUAAAAAAUGUUCAAAAGAUAAGUUAGCCUCGCUGCAGGUCUCCAAGCUCAUCCUCACUCAGCUUGGUGUCGCAGUGCAAACACAAAGCUGGCAUCUCCAUGGCAGAGCUCAAACCGACGCUGGCUGCAGAGGGUUACGAUGUCACCAAGAACAACAAGCAAGUCAAUGUGGUGAACAAACAGUUGGUUAGCAAUGGUCACACUUGUAAGAACUACAAGAAAUACAUCCAUCAGACUCAGCAAGGUAUAACACACUGGAUCAUCCAACAUUAGGCUUAUUUCUAAACCUCUCCAUGUUGCAUGUCAAAACAGAUAAAGAUGAAUUCUGUGAAACGUGAACCAAAACCAGAGCUGAAGAAGAGCUAUGCAGCCAACAAAUUGUCCAAGGGAGCAGAAA